CACCACGAUUGGCGCAUCACCUGCGCACCGUGCCACGCUGAAGCACCCAUAGCAACCUUAGCGUGCGCCAACACAACGAAGAGCAACGGCGGAGAGACACCGAAUCGAUCAGCUCCCUUCUACGACCAUCACCACCCCAACAAAGAAGCGCACGGCGCACUGGCUUGCACCCUCUCUUCCGCCACGUCCCUACUAGCUGCUUUGCUUUUUUUUUUAGCAUCCUCUCUUCCAUUUAUCCGUCUUGGAUACGUUCUUCUUUCUUGCUCGUGCGCCCGCGUCAGUUUUUCUGCGUCUCGGGCGUUUGUCGACGUCCGGUUGUGUCGCCGAAACGGUCUGUCUUCGCCAUCUGUGUUGCCUUCCAGGUUAUCUGGUCACUUGUGAGUUCUUUGACUUUUCUCUCUCUGCCUGUUGUCUCGCUUUCUCCCUAAUCGCCGCGUUUCGCUUCCCUGAUUUUCCUCGGUCGUUCCUCCUGCGGCGUGAGUGGUGGUUUUGCGUUUUCCCGUUCAGCUCUCUGUGUCUUCGGCACCUGCGCCUGCGCCUCUUUCGUUCCUCCUGGUUAUAGCCCCGCUUCACUGUGCCGUCGCCUGGUACUCGAUCUUUUUUCUCUAUGCUAGUGCGUGCCCGUGUGAGGCGGACUCGCUUGACCUAAAAGACAAGUUCGAGUCCAUCUUGGCUGGGGCUCUGAGCUGUACCAAGCUCUGCUAUCACGCCCCCUUUUUUCAGGCUUCGGUAGAGGGAGAAGAACCUACCUGGCUCACACCCUUAGCUUUCUUCAGAUGUGGCGCCGAUGGUGAAGCAGUCUGCUGCACAAGUCCCUCUGCGCGUCCCUUCCACGCGAGUGCGCAACGAAUUGCAUUCUAUCAAUGCCGACGGAAAGCAAACGUGUUGUCCCAGCUUGAAGGUGAUCGGUGCCGCUGCACGAAAACCUUCGGCUGCGCUAGCGGACGCACCGUUGCGCCGCAAGCGUGUCCCUGCUGUACCGACGACACCCAAGCGCGCAGGAGGGUGGAAUGCUCCCUGGCAGCCCAGACGCGGUUCUUCUGGCAUCACUCCAGAUGAAGAUAGUCGCAAAGCUCGCGAGCAUCUCCGGCACUCGCCGCCUGGUAAGCGACGAGGUAAUAGCAUUGGACACCGCAGCCACAGCGCCGGCGCUUCGCGUCACGCUCAGCGCCCAGCGAGCGACAUGGUCACUGUAGGGCUUCCACGCAUGCACUCAUCUCCACAGGCGGUGACGUCAGUACACGAAAAUGGGCUGACCAGCGACGAUCUCCUUCUUCUGUGCGGGGUCAAGCCUGGGUCCUCCAAGGCUCUCUGGUACACCACGAUGCGCGCGCAGCUGGAGGCUCGCGCGCUCGCCACGGCAGCGGAGCAAAGCGACAGGGGCGACAGCGCGACUUCCAAUAGACCGAGGACAGGGGUGGGCUCGUCUUCAUCGUCGUCGCACUCGCUAACCCGCAGAGCUGACGCUAGCUCUGAACCGCUCGUGCUGCCAACGGCGCUUUUGCUUCUGACUGAGCCAUCUGACCUGAAUGCGCACACCAUGGGCGCGCCAGAAUCUGCUGCACAACAAAAAGGGAAGAUACCACGUACCCGCUCGGGCGAGGACGACGCCGAGAAAGUAGAAGAGGACGACGGUGCCAGCAGCCUUGGUACCCGCUCCACUUCCCUCUGCUCUGAAAAGGUCGCUAACGCAAGUGUGACGCAAGGAGCGCCUAACGCGGUUCCGCUGGUCCCCCUCAAGAAACUGCGACUCUCGCCAAAGCAACUAACGCAGAUGCGUGUUUCCGUUCUCUCUCUUCAGGCCCUCGCCGACUUGUGACGCAUGCUGCUUAUUCGACGUUGUAUCCUUUCUUGCUUGUUUGAAAUGGUGCUUCUUCCGUGAUGGUGGAG
rnacentral:misc_RNA from 1 species